rnacentral:misc_RNA from 1 species
CAGUACAAUAUUAUAUACAUUUGUAAGUAUGGGAUGCGGAAAAAAAUUAAACGAUAAUAAGAAGUCGUAGAGUAAUACACAAUUUCUUAAAAAAUGUUAAAGAUUAUGGCAAAAAGAAAAGUACUGGUCGGCCGUCAUCGUUAUCCGAUCGUGAUAAGCGAGCAAUUUUGCGUGUAGCUUCCAACUCGCAGUUAACAACGAAGCAAAUAAUGAAAAAAUCUAGUGUUAGUGCCAAUGUAUCAAGUGCUCGUCGAGUUCUACUAUCCUGCAAAAAUAUCAAGAGGCUAAAAUUGAAAAAGAAACGGAACACAAAGUAAAACGUUUACGCUUUGCAAAAGAAAGACUGCAUUGGACAAAGAAAUGGAGAAGACUACUAUUUUC